rnacentral:tRNA from 1 species
GGUCUCGUAGUUCAAUGGAUAGAAUAUCAGAUUCCGAUUCUGACGAUACAGGUUCGAUUCCUGUCGAGAUCA